UCACCUCCAUCCUUAGUGAAGUCUGGGUGGCCGUCUCAGCAGACAAAGCUGCUGAGCUGCCUGCCGACAGGUGACCAACCAAGCGAUUGGAUACUCCCAAGUGUGUGAAGCUCUGUGGUUAGUUACCUUGUGGCUGUGUCACCAUUGAGGAUGACGUGGACC
rnacentral:lncRNA from 1 species